AUCUGAGUCCGAAACGGGUCCCCUAAUCGGACUGAGUGGUGCGGUUGGUUGCCAACGGUCUGGAGGUCCUGAGAAUCAUCCAGGGGAGCGGGACCACUUGGCUUCUGAGGCCGAAUCGGGUCCCCUUGUCGGACUGAAUGGUGCAGUUGGUGGCCAACAGUCUGGAGGUCUUCCUGAGGCUCCAGAGGAGGGUAACUCUGUGAGUCUGAGUCCGAGAUGAGUCCCCUAAUCGGACUGAAUGGUGCAGUUUCAGUACGCCGUGGACCACUUUGGUCUGCCAUCGUCAGUCGCUACGGUCGCUACUCGCUACUGUCUG